AGAGUUUGAUCCUGGCUCAGGACGAACGCUGGCGGUGUGCUUCACACAUGCAAGUCGAACGGGGUAGCAAUACCCAGUGGCGGACGGGUGAGUAACACGUAGGAAUCUGCCUCAGAGUGGGGGAUAACUGACCGAAAGGUUAGCUAAUACCGCAUAUGUCGAAAGAUAAAAGGAGUAAUCCGCUAUGAGAUGAGCCUGCGUCCGAUUAGCUAGUUGGUAGGGUAAAGGCCUACCAAGGCUACGAUCGGUAGCUGGUCUGAGAGGAUGAUCAGCCACAAUGGAACUGAGACACGGUCCAUACUCCUACGGGAGGCAGCAGUGGGGAAUUUUACGCAAUGGGCGAAAGCCUGACGUAGCGACACCGCGUGAACGAAGAAGCCUUUUGGGGUGUAAAGUUCUGUCAGC
rnacentral:rRNA from 1 species